rnacentral:rRNA from 1 species
UACGUAGGGUGCGAGCGUUAAUCGGAAUUACUGGGCGUAAAGCGUGCGCAGGCGGUUUUGUAAGACAGAUGUGAAAUCCCUGGGCUCAACCUAGGAAUUGCAUUUGUGACUGCCCGGCUAGAGUGUGUCAGAGGGGGGUAGAAUUCCACGUGUAGCAGUGAAAUGCGUAGAUAUGUGGAGGAAUACCGAUGGCGAAGGCAGCCCCCUGGGAUAACACUGACGCUCAUGCACGAAAGCGUGGGGAGCAAACAGG